CAAACAUAAACCGAGCAGGACACUGUCAUUGGUCCUGGGGUACACCUGUUUGCACCGGAUAUGCCUCCCAAAUAGCCCAUUGCCAAGCCCUGGGCAUCAAAAUCUUCCUUUCUCUCGGAGGAUAUUCUUCGCAAUAUACCUUGGCUUCAGCUGCUGAGGCC